AUGCACGCUGGCGGCGUGCCUAAUACAUGCAAGUCGCGCGAACGGACGAGAAGCUUGCCUCUCUGAUGUUAGCGGCGGACGGGUGAGUAACACGUGGAUAACCUACCUAUAAGACUGGGAUAACUUCGGGAAACCGUAGCUAAUACCGGAUAAUAUUUUGAACCGCAUGGUUCAAAAGUGAAAGACGGUCUUGCUGUCACUUAUAGAUGGAUCCGCGCUGCAUUAGCUAGUUGGUAAGGUAACGGCUUACCAAGGCAACGAUGCAUAGCCGACCUGAGAGGGUGAUCGGCCACACUGGAACUGAGACACGGUCCAGACUCCUACGGGAGGCAGCAGUAGGGAAUCUUCCGCAAUGGGCGAAAGCCUGACGGAGCAACGCCGCGUGAGUGAUGAAGGUCUUCGGAUCGUAAAACUCUGUUAUUAGGGAAGAACAUAUGUGUAAGUAACUGUGCACAUCUUGACGGUACCUAAUCAGAAAGCCACGGCUAACUACGUG
rnacentral:rRNA from 1 species